rnacentral:rRNA from 1 species
UACGUAGGGUGCGAGCGUUGUCCGGAAUUAUUGGGCGUAAAGGGCUCGUAGGCGGUUUGUCGCGUCGGGAGUGAAAACCCAGGGCUUAACCCUGGGCUGGCUUUCGAUACGGGCAGACUAGAGGUAUGCAGGGGAGAACGGAAUUCCUGGUGUAGCGGUGAAAUGCGCAGAUAUCAGGAGGAACACCGGUGGCGAAGGCGGCGAUCUGGACGAUGACUGACGCUGAGACGCGAAAGCGUGGGGAGCAAACAGG